CUUGAACUUCUACUGCUGUUUUGGGGCUUUGCAAAUAGAUCCUCAGCUCUGCAAAUUGGGAACCAUUUCCGGGGUUGAGUUCACCCAGGCUCUCAAUAAAAUACCUGCUGGUAUGGAGUAGCACUUCAGACCUUGCUCUUAUGAGGCAGGUGUGGGAGCCACUGAGCUACAUCCCUGGGUCAUACAACUCACCAG
rnacentral:lncRNA from 1 species